rnacentral:rRNA from 1 species
AUUGAACGCUGGCGGAAUGCUUUACACAUGCAAGUCGAACGGCAGCACGGGGGCAGCCCUGGUGGCGAGUGGCGCACGGGUGAGUAAUACAUCGGAACGUGCCCGGUCGUGGGGGAUAACGUAGCGUAAGUUACGCUAAUACCGCAUACGAUCUGAGGAUGAAAGCGGGGGACCUUCGGGCCUCGCGCCAUCGGAGCGGCCGAUGUCAGAUUAGGUAGUUGGUGGGGUAAAGGCCUACCAAGCCGACGAUCUGUAGCUGGUCUGAGAGGACGACCAGCCACACUGGGCCUGAGACCCGGCCCAGACUCCUACGGGAGGCAGCAGUGGGGAAUUUUGGACAAUGGGCGCAAGCCUGAUCCAGCCAUUCCGCGUGCAGGACGAAGGCCUUCGGGUUGUAAACUGCUUUUGUACGGAACGAAAAGGCUCUGGCUAAUACCUGGGGCUCAUGACGGUACCGUAAGAAUAAGCACCGGCUACCUACGU